rnacentral:rRNA from 1 species
CGGUGUUUAACUGGCGUGAUGUGGGACGUCCUACCGGUGGGCUUAGCCUCGCGAGGGGCGGCCCAACUAAUAUCCCGUCGCGGUGCUCUUUACUGAGUGUCGAGUCGGGCCGGUACGUUUACUUUGAACAAAUUAGAGUGCUUAAAGCAGGCUAUCCUCGCCUGAAUACUGCGUGCAUGGAAUAAUGGAAUAGGACCUCGGUUCUAUUUUGUUGGUUUUCGGAACCCCGAGGUAAUGAUUAAUAGGGACAGAUGGGGGCAUUCGUAUUGCGACGUUAGAGGUGAAAUUCUUGGAUCGUCGCAAGACGGACAGAAGCGAAAGCAUUUGCCAAAAAUGUUUUCAUUAAUCAAGAACGAAAGUUAGAGGUUCGAAGGCGAUCAGAUACCGCCCUAGUUCUAACCAUAAACGAUGCCAGCUAGCGAUCCGCCCGAAGUUCCUCCGAUGACUCGGCGGGCAGCUUCCGGGAAACCAAAGCUUUUGGGUUCCGGGGGAAGUAUGGUUGCAAAGCUGAAACUUAAAGGAAUUGACGGAAGGGCACCACCAGGAGUGGAGCCUGCGGCUUAAUUUGACUCAACACGGGAAACCUCACCAGGCCCAGACACCGGAAGGAUUGACAGAUUGAUAGCUCUUUCUUGAUUCGGUGGGUGGUGGUGCAUGGCCGUUCUUAGUUGGUGGAGCGAUUUGUCUGGUUAAUUCCGAUAACGAACGAGACUCUAGCCUGCUAAAUAGGCGUACCUUAUGGUAUCGCGAAGGCCCCCGGCUUCGGCCGGUGGGUUUUUACUACCAACGUACAAACAAAUCUUCUUAGAGGGACAGGCGG